AUUUAACGCUGGCGGCAGGCCUAACACAUGCAAGUCGAGCGGAGCGGCGGACGGGUGAGUAAUGCCUAGGAAUCUGCCUGGUAGUGGGGGAUAACGUCCGGAAACGGGCGCUAAUACCGCAUCCUAUCAGAUUAGCCUAGGUCGGAUUAGCUAGUUGGUGGGGUAAAGGCCUACCAAGGGGCCGAUCCGUACCUGGUCUGAGAGGAUGAUCAGUCACACGGGAACGGAGACAGGGUCGAGACUACGACGAGAUGCAGCAGGGGGGAAUAUGGGACAAUGGGCGAAAGCCUGAUCCAGCCAUGCCGGGUGUGUGAAGAAGGUUUUCGGAUUGUAAAGCACUUUAAGUUGGGAGACGUUACCAACAGAAUAAGCACCGGCUAACUUCGUGCCAGCAGCGCGGUAAUAC
rnacentral:rRNA from 1 species